rnacentral:rRNA from 1 species
UGCAAGUCGAACGGAAAGGCCCUGCUUGCAGGGUACUCGAGUGGCGAACGGGUGAGUAACACGUGGGUGAUCUGCCCUGCACUUCGGGAUAAGCCUGGGAAACUGGGUCUAAUACCGGAUAGGACCAUCGUUUAGUGUCGGUGGUGGAAAGUUUUUUCGGUGUGGGAUGAGCUCGCGGCCUAUCAGCUUGUUGGUGGGGUAAUGGCCUACCAAGGCGUCGACGGGUAGCCGGCCUGAGAGGGUGGACGGCCACAUUGGGACUGAGACACGGCCCAGACUCCUACGGGAGGCAGCAGUGGGGAAUAUUGCACAAUGGGCGAAAGCCUGAUGCAGCAACGCCGCGUGGGGGAUGACGGCCUUCGGGUUGUAAACCUCUUUUAGUAGGGAAGAAGCGUAAGUGACGGUACCUGCAGAAAAAGCACCGGCUAACUAC